rnacentral:rRNA from 1 species
AACGAACGCUGGCGGCAGGCCUAACACAUGCAAGUCGAGCGAGGACUUCGGUCCUAGCGGCGGACGGGUGAGUAACGCGUGGGAACGUGCCCUUUGGUUCGGAAUAGCCCUGGGAAACUGGGAGUAAUACCGGAUGAGCUCUUCGGAGGAAAGAUUUAUCGCCAAAGGAUCGGCCCGCGUUGGAUUAGGUAGUUGGUGGGGUAAUGGCCUACCAAGCCGACGAUCCAUAGCUGGUUUGAGAGGAUGAUCAGCCACACUGGGACUGAGACACGGCCCAGACUCCUACGGGAGGCAGCAGUGGGGAAUAUUGCACAAUGGGCGCAAGCCUGAUGCAGCAACGCCGCGUGAGUGAUGACGGCCUUCGGGUUGUAAAG